CCUCCGGUGAUGAUGGAUAUCGGUGACUUUCGUUCUUCUGAGCUCGCUGAAGCCACAUGCGAAAAUCUGAGGAGG
rnacentral:snoRNA from 1 species